UAGGGAAUAUUGGUUAAUCUGCGAAAGCGGGAACCAGCAACGCCGCGUGCACGAUGAAGGCCUUCGGGUUUUAAAGUGCUUUUUGGGAGGAUGAGGAAGGACAGUACUCUUAGAAUAAGCUUCGGCUAACUACUUGCCACCAGCCGCGGUAAAACGUAGGAAGCGAGCGUUAUCCGGAUUUACUGGGCGUAAAGCGUGUGCAGGCGGUUUGAUAAGUUGGAUGUGAAAGCUCCUGGCUUAACUGGGAGAGGUCGUUCAAAACUAUCAGACUAGAGAGUGGUAGAGGGAGGUGGAAUUCCGGGUGUAGUGGUGAAAUGCGUAGAUAUCCGGAGGAACACCAGUGGCGAAAGCGGCCUCCUGGCCCAUUUCUGACGCUCAGACGCGAAAGCUAAGGUAGCAAACGG
rnacentral:rRNA from 1 species